rnacentral:rRNA from 1 species
AUAAUUAGAUUCUUACUGUCUUUAUUAUUCUUGUUAGAGAAAUAUCUUUAUUUUAAGUAUAUUAAAGAAUAAAAUAUUUUUGUUAUAGUAAAUUAGUACUGUGAAGGAAUUAGAUGAAAUAUAAUUAAAACUAAAUUUUUUGAAAGUAUGUUUAAUUUGCAGUACCUUUUGUAUCAGGGUUAAUUAAAAAUUUUAAAUUUAUUUUAUUAUCUCGAUUCUAAAAGAGCUAAUUUUAUAUUAUAGUUAAUGUUUCAUAAUUAUUAUAAAUAUAUUUUAGUAGAGAAAUUCUAUUCGUUUUUAGAGGUAUCUAGUUUUUUAAGAAACAAAUUUAAUUUGCUUUUAUUAAUUAGCUAUUUCAUUUAUUAAAUAGCUAUUUAAUAAAUGAAAUUUUAUAGGGGAUAAGCUCUAUAUAUAUCUAUAAUUUUGAUUAUUAAUCAAUUAAAGUAGGCUUAAAAUUAGCCAUCUUUUGUGAUUGUGUUAUAACUUACUUAUUUUAUUAAUUAAUUUUAUUGAAUUUAGAUUAUUAUUAAAAUGUCUUUACUAACUGUAAAUAUUGAGUAAUAAUGAUUAAAUUAGUAUAUUUACUGUAUAUAAAUUUAUAAUUUGUAUGAUAAGGCAAGUAACUCGGCAAAUAUGAUUCUCGCCUGUUUAACAAAAACAUGGCCUUUUGAAUUUAAUUUAAGGUCUGACCUGCCCAGUGAUUUUCAACGGCCGCGGUAUACUGACCGUGCAAAGGUAGCAUAAUCAUUAGUCUUUUAAUAGAGGGCUGGAAUGAAAGGUUUAACGAGGAAUCGACUGUCUCACCUUAUAUGUAUUAAAACUUAAUUUUUCAGUCAAAAAGCUGAAAUUAUAUUGGAAGACGAGAAGACCCUAUAGAUCUUUAUAUAAUACCAACAUAAUAUUAUUAUAUUAAUGAAUUUUGUUGGUUUUGUAUUUAGUUGGGGUGACAAAAAUAUACAAUUAACUUUUUUAUAAUUUAAACAUUGAUUUAUGAAUAUUAGAUCCAUUAUUAUUGAUCAUUAGAUUAAGUUACCUUAGGGAUAACAGCGUAAUCCUCUUCCAGAGUUCAUAUUUACAAGAGGGCUUGCGACCUCGAUGUUGGAUUAAGAUAAUAGCUAGGUGCAGCCGCUUAGCUUAUAGGUCUGUUCGACCUUUAAACC